ensembl:lncRNA
UGAACAGAUAAAACAAAUUUAUUUAACCUGUAUUUAUUGUCAUGUUUUGAUAAAAUGCGGUAUUAACAUAAUCCAGUUUUAUUAACAAUGGAGCUUUUUUAAGGGAUUUACUUCAGGUAACUCUCAUUACAGCAGCAUAAAGGUGAUAUAUAGAUGAAGUAUAAAUGUGGUUUAAUGUAUUUUUCAGUAGAAGAAAUACAGUAAGUGAAAUCAGCUGACAAGGCCCAUUUCAAAUUUCUAAUUAGUCUUCAGCUCAAAGUCGUCCUUCUGCGAGAGGAGGUUGUGGAAGAACUUCUCAGAGUACAGGAAGAAGUGUCUGUUCCGCUCCAGGUCCUGAGCAUUGAUAAUACGAGUCACCAAAGCUUGUUGUAAGGCCGGAGACUCACAGGGGUGAUGCUGGACUUUGUGAGUCACGUUCCUCCCCGGCUCGAUGACUAACAGCCCCUGAACAUCCACGUGCGUCGCAUUGUCGGGACACUCCGUGUUUACCACAACCCGGGCGGUGGUUUCAUUUCUUCUCUUUGGCACAUCGAGUCCAAAGUCCGUUUCGCGGCCUCUGCUAACGUCAGCACUCGAGUUGGCCGACGUCGUCCUGUUAAACGUAUCGGUCGAGUCACUGGCCAGGCUGCUAUUAAAAAUGCAUUUGCUUGUAUUGGUUCUGCUUAAUGUGUUAGUUUGUCCCGGUCCACCCGCCGGAGUCUCCUUGAUGUUGCUGUGCAGAUAGACGGUGUAGCCCUGGACCAGGCGGCUCAACGCCGUCUUAUAAGACAGACGCAGAGACUCGACGGAUCCCCGGGGCACAGACUUCAGGCGAACCUGUUGGAACAAGAUCAGACCGACUCAUCGGAUGAUCCUGAUGAAACGCCGCUCCCGCCAACCACUGCUGCAUAGACACCGAGCUCAUCCUCUUCCUCGUGGUCAUCCUCUCGUAGUGGUCGAUCAGCUCCAGAUUCAGCCAGUCGUCGUGAAGCUCCGUGGCCUCGGCCAUCUUCUCGUGGUCGUUGGCGAUGCCGGGGAUGAGGCGCAGGUAGCUGUGGACAAUCCGGCCAAUUCUCGAAGCACUGCUGAUGCCAAAGAUCCUCCUGGGCUGGGGUCUGGGAGCGGGUCGGUUCCCCCCAGUGGAUCCUUGAGCUCGGACCUAGUGCGAUAGCAUGCAUCUGGAAUUCUGAGCUUCAGUUCCAGUUCAGCAUCAUGUGAUACAGUUCAAUUAUAUAUGAUGUAAAAAUAUAUACGGAUUGGCCUAUUUCCUAAUAAGGAAUUAGGAUUUUUUAUGUUGCAGCUGUUUUAAGCCUAAUUUGACUUGAUGCAGCUUUUUUUUUAUCCUGCAGAGGAGAGGAAAUAAUAAUAUCUUACAGACAAUAUAUAUAUAUAUAUAUAUAUAUAUGUAUAGUUUUAAAACUUACUUGUUGGGCAACCUGGUCAAAAAGCAAAGACAGAGCCAGAGCAACCACCCCGACCCCUCCACCGGUGACCCGGGCACUGCCUCCCAGCUCUCUGCUCAAGUUGAGGCCGAAUGCGGCCUGCAGCUCCCCGCUCAUGCUGCGCCGCGAGGAGGCGUGUUGGUGCUGCAGAGCGGCCGAGGAGUCCAGCGAGAGGAAGGUGGUGAGGACGGGAUCCAAGGAGAUAUCGGGGACGACGCCGGCGUCUCGAGCCACGGAGAAGAGCUCCUGGACUGUGGCUCGAGACGGAAGACACAGAGAGCGACCCGUCAGGAUCAUGGCUGCGGGUCGUCUGGCUGUCUGCUCGUUAUCCGUGUCUCUGACCCCUGGAGUGUUUAUUUGCCCCCCGGAAAGAUCGUCACCCAACAUGAAGCUAUUCUAGAGCUGUAGGUGGACAAAAACACAUAGUAGGGGAGGAAGUAUUCAGGAAGAAGAAAAGAAAGAAGAAGAAAAGGCAUACCGUUAAAUGAAAUUCAAUUAAUAAAGUAAAGUGCCUCGAAUAUGCUCCAAGAGUGAAAGCCCUUAAGUGUGGCUCAGCAGCAUUAAACACUGUCUAAUGAAAAAUAGAUAUGCAACACAAAUAUUGCAGCAGCUAUAGGCUUUAAUAACCUGUUUGAACAGAUACAUUUGUCUGAAAGCACAGCUGUUUUUCUAAUCAG